UAGUCCUGCAGCUUGAACGAUCCGCCGUCGUGGCUAGCAGCGCGGUAAUUCCAGCUCCAAUAGCGUAUAUUAAAGUUGUUGCAGUUAGAACGCUCGUAGUCGGAUUUCGGGGCGGUCCGACCGGUCUGCCGAUGGGUACGCACUGGUCGGAGCGUCCUUUUUGCCGGAGACCGUGCCUACUCUUAACUGAGCGGGGGCGGGAGACGGCACUUUUACUUUGAAAAAAUCAGAGUGUUUCAAGCAGGCAGCUCGCUCUUGCAUGGAUUAGCAUGGGAUAAUGAAAUAGGACUUUGGUGCUAUUUUGUUGGUUUCGAACACCGAAGUAAUGAUGAGAAGGGACAGUCAGGGGCACUCGUAUUCCGCCGAGAGAGGUGAAAUUCUCAGACCAGCGGAAGACGAACCACUGCGAAAGCAUUUGCCAGGGAUGUUUUCACUGAUCAAGAACGAAAGUUAGGGGAUCGAAGACGAUCAGAUACCGUCGUAGUCUUAACCAUAAACCAUGCCGACUAGGGAUUGGAGGAUGUUCACUGAUUGACUCCUUCAGCACCUUACGGGAAACUAAAGUCUUUGGGUUCCGGGGGGAGUAUGGUCGCAAGGCUGAAACUUAAAGGAAUUGACGGAAGGGCACCACCAGGUGUGGAGCCUGCGGCUUAAUUUGACUCAACACGGGGAAACUUACCAGGUCCAGACAUUUUGAGGAUUGACAGAUUGAGAGCUCUUUCAUGAUUAGAUGGGUGGUGGUGCAUGGCCGUUAUUAGUUGGUGGAGUGAUUUGUCUGGUUAAUUCCGUUAACGAACGAGACCUUAGCCUGCUAAAUAGUGACGCGAACUCUUUGUUCGCGGGCCACUUCUUAGAGGGACAACUUGUCUUCAACAAGUGGAAGUUUGAGGCAAU
rnacentral:rRNA from 1 species